GUACACGCUGUGACUAGCAUAUCAAUAAGCGGAGGAAAAGCGCAUUAUCCAUACCUACGCUUAGGAUGUUGACAGCAGUAUAGACUGUACACGCUGUGACUAGCAUAUCAAUAAGCGGAGGAAAAGAAACUAACAAGGAUUCCCCUAGUAACGGCGAGUGAAGCGGGAAGAGCUCAAAUUUGAAAUCUUAAAGGGUUUCCCUUUACGAAUUGUAGUUUAAAGAAGUGUUUUCUGUUGAGGUUUUGGUAAAAGUUCUUUGGAAUAGGACAUCAUAGAGGGUGAGAAUCCCGUAUUUGACCUUUACUUUCAACUUUGUGAUACACUUUCAAAGAGUCGGAUUGUUUGGGAAUGCAGUCCAAAAUGGGUGGUAAAUUUCAUCUAAAGCUAAAUAUUGGCGAGAGACCGAUAGCGAACAAGUACCGUGAGGGAAAGAUGAAAAGAACUUUGAAAAGAGAGUUAAACAGUACGUGAAAUUGUCAAAAGGGAAGCGUUUGACACCAGUGUUGUUUUUCUGAAAAUCAAUUAAAGAACUGUUUAUGCUAAGUUGUUUAGACUUUAUCAGCUAACUGUUUAGUUUUGAGCUUUUCUUUAAUGCACUUUUCAGUUAACAAGUCAACAUCAAUUUCCUUUGCUGUAAAAAAGCUUGAGGAAGGUGGCUUGAGAUUCGUCUUAAGUGUUUAUAGCCUCUUGCCUAUGCAGUCGGAGAGAUUGAGGUCUGCAGCGUAGAUCCUUCGGGGCUAAAUGCAUUUGUGCUAAGUUAUAGCAUUUCAUAGACAACUUGUUGACUAUGAUUUGUCUCGUAGCUUACUCGCUUAUGUUAUUUUACCUACGCUUAGGAUGUUGACAGCAGUAUAGACUGU
rnacentral:rRNA from 1 species